rnacentral:rRNA from 1 species
GCUGGCGGUAGGCCUAACACAUGCAAGUCGAACGGCAGCACAGAGGAGCUUGCUCCUUGGGUGGCGAGUGGCGGACGGGUGAGGAAUACAUCGGAAUCUACUCUGUCGUGGGGGAUAACGUAGGGAAACUUACGCUAAUACCGCAUACGACCUACGGGUGAAAGCAGGGGAUCUUCGGACCUUGCGCGAUUGAAUGAGCCGAUGUCGGAUUAGCUAGUUGGCGGGGUAAAGGCCCACCAAGGCGACGAUCCGUAGCUGGUCUGAGAGGAUGAUCAGCCACACUGGAACUGAGACACGGUCCAGACUCCUACGGGAGGCAGCAGUGGGGAAUAUUGGACAAUGGGCGCAAGCCUGAUCCAGCCAUACCGCGUGGGUGAAGAAGGCCUUCGGGUUGUAAAGCCCUUUUGUUGGGAAAGAAAUCCAGCUGGCUAAUACCCGGUUGGGAUGACGGUACCCAAAGAAUAAGCACCGGCUAACUUCGUGCCAGCAGCCGCGGUAAUACGAAGGGUGCAAGCGUUACUCGGAAUUACUGGGCGUAAAGCGUGCGUAGGUGGUCGUUUAAGUCCGUUGUGAAAGCCCUGGGCUCAACCUGGGAACUGCAGUGGAUACUGGGCGACUAGAGUGUGGUAGAGGGUAGCGGAAUUCCUGGUGUAGCAGUGAAA